GUGAAGGUGGGUGCCAUGCGGGCGGCCUGAUCGUGAAGAGCUCCGUGUCUACCCGCAAAGAAACAUUAUAGAAGCAACGCCGGAUAAACUAGAUACUCACAGGCUUGUGAGUUUAAUAUCAGCAAAACACAUCCUGAGGGAUCGGAUUAAUCUGCACCUGGACAAGCAGGGAUUAAAGAUAGGUGGAGAUCCUGUCUGGUCAGAUUGACUGAAUAUUUUGAACAGGAAAAGAGUUCCAAAUACUCAUGAAUCUCUGAAUGAAACAAAAAUCAUUUUGUCUGUCUUAAAGAUAAGACGAUGCUACAGUACUUUCAAGGGUCUCAGGCGUGAGAAGAAUCAAUACAGGCCUCACUCUGGAUUAUUGAGGGUCACUUACUUUGUACAUUAAGCCACUAAAAAUGAACUCUUCUUUCCAAAUGGACUUGAUGAUCUGGGUGUUUUGAGUCUAUCAACAUCAGACACCCUCACCCAGGUGACCCAAACAUGGCUUGGAGUUGCCAGACAUGGCUGGGACUGAAAAGGAAACAAUUUCACUACUUCAACAAAUUAGGACGAUGAAGAAUUUGAAAAUAUCGGCAAUCAUCUUGAAUGUAACCAUUGGUCCCCAUCGGACACUCAGCUCUCGUCUGUGGCUCCAAGUUGCAGUUCGGCGUGCAACAGUGGCCACACCCCAGUAAAUAUUUCGAUAGCUGGGCUAAACGUGGUGAGGGCAGCCAGCGGAUCUCACACCCCAGUGAGACAGGGACAUGCCUGUCCUAGCAGGCGAGGUCAGCUCCCGCAGACUGGGUGAAUAAAUCUAUAGUGAGAUCCAAUGGCCAGGAAGAUGGCUCUGUGACGUUCUGUGGAGAGCGAAGGACAUGAUGAGGCACAGAUGAAGUGAAGGUCAUCACCGCAACCAGGGAAGACCCCAGUUGAGAUAUCUAUCAUACCACUGGACCUGGAACUUCUAAGGUUGAGAGGGUGGAACUGCUGCAGUGCGAUGGCUUUCCCACUUUAAAACUCUCCUGCACAGGUCUCCUGUCAUCAUCCGAUUCGACAGACCAUCCUGAUGAAGGGUCUCGGCCCGAAACAUCGACUGUUUACUCUUUUCCAUAGACACUGCCUGGCCUGCUGAGUUCCUUCAGCAUUUUGUGUGUGUGGCAUGGUAAUGUUCUAAUUUGGUUUGUAUUUCAUUUUAAUGCAUAAUAUGUUACUCAGUUUGUAGGGUAACAUAAUUGGUGGAAAUGUACGUAAUUCACAACCACUGACAUGCAUUUGAGGUUUCACUUUAAGAGGUUGGUCUGACAUGAUAAUGUAGUUAUGUAAAGUAUUGUUACCCUGCUUUGUGUUCAGUGUUUGGAUUACAUUAAAUGAGUUACUAUGGUUUU